rnacentral:lncRNA from 1 species
CUUCAUUUGCAUCUGCAAAACACAAACAUUUGCAGAAUGAUGCUCUAUCACUGUGUGUCCAAGCCCCUACUGGCCUCAAGUGAUCCUCCUGACAGCUCCCUGUGGUGUGAAAAGGAGCUAUCAUCUACACUUGCUGCAGCGAACACUGGACAGUGAUAUUAAAACCUAGAGCAUGAGGAAGCCAGUGAGGAGAAGCUGGUGAGAGGCUCUGCCCUCAGAUGAGAGGAACUGGAAUUCACACAUGCUCCAUCUGCCUCUGCAAACUUCGGAUGACUCAGUGUCUACCCAGCGCCUGGUCAUCGGCAUUCCUGCCAAGUGGAUCUCAGGACAAAGAAAGGACAUGACUGCCUGAAGAGGGCCCAGACAUGCAGUGGGGCAGGUGCUGGCAUCUGAGAAAGUCCUAGGAGAGAACCUCCUCCAGUGUGUGAAGAGCUUCCCAAGCACCAGGUCCACUGACUGUGGCGUCAAAGACAGUGAAAAGCUGGCCUUGGGGUGAUGCCAUCCAGGAAGGCAUGCCAGAUCAGAUGCCCAGCAACUAUCAUCUUCUCUGCUUGGGCCCUACUGCUGUGGUUCAAGAAGGAACUACCUGAGCAACUGACACUUCUGCCAGCCACCAGUCCCUGUCACUGUGCAUCUUUGCCAAGCUAAUGUGCUCCCUGGAGGAUGGGACCAGCACAGAGUCAGGUAGGGCCUGGGGCUGGGUGUGUGACCUGUGUGUAGUGAUGGAGACUAAUUCAAAGCAGGGUGGGAGUGAGACAGAAGUGUGGUACAAAUAGCAUGGAGAAUGGGCUCAAGGUGCAGGAAGGGGCAAGGAUGAAAGCUGAGUUACAGGCCAGCUCUGCCACUGACAAGCUGUGAUUUCCCUCACCCCAAAAUGACAGUAAUGACACUUCACCUCCCUGAAGGCAGGAGCCAGGUUAAAGGGGCAUGUUGGAGUGAUCUUAAAUGACAGCUGUGACUGUGACAGGAACCCCCUGUGUUUAUGAUUUGAGAUUUUAUGUAACUGCACUUGAAAUAUUCAUGUGUGUGGAUUUUGUAUAUGCAUGGGUAGUUGCAUGUUGUCUCCAGUGCAUGUACAUAAUCUGUGUCAUGUAUUACAUGUGUUCUAUAUGGGGGCAAGAACAGGUUACACGUUAUAUGUGAUAUACUAAUGUAUGAGUUACAUAUUGUACAGUUUGGGUGUUACAGUUUUUGGGUUUAUGGGCUACAUGUCAGUAUUAUGGCUGCUGUAUUGUUAUAAUUUAUCUGUUGUAUAUUGUAUUUAACUUGCAUAUGAACUCCAGACUCAUAUAUCCAGCUGCCUUCUCAAUAUCUCUACUUGGAUACCUAACCAGUUUUCUUAAACAUAACAUGUCCAAAACAGCCUAAGAUUCCUCCAAACCUGCUUCCCUCACCAUCUUUCCCAAGCCCAUACGUAGCAAUCUUAUUUUUUCAGUUGCUGUAACUUUUUUUUCCACAUUCCACAUUCAAUUCAUAAGCAAAUCCUGUUGGCUGGCCUUUGCACUAUAUCUGCAGUCUGUCCACUUUUCAUUAUUCCCACAGUAAUAAUGUGGGAAUAAGGGUUCAGCCACCAUCACCUCGCUUCUGGAUUAUUGCAAUGACCUCUUAAGUGGUUUCCCUGCCUUCUCCCUUGUCCUCUACAGUCUGUUCUCAAUACUGCAGUCAGAAUAAAAUGUCACACCAUGUCCCUUCCCUACUCAGAGCCCUCAAUGGUUUCCCCCCAGUUAGAGUGAAAUCCAGAGCUGGCUCUUACAAUGGUCUAGAAGGCCCUUUGGGCUGCCCCAAGCCACCUCUCUGGCUUCAUCUCUUCCUAGUUUCCUUGCUCCAACUGUACCAGCUUCCUUGCUAUUCCUUGAACAUACUAGGCAUGCUCCUGCAUUAGGGCUUUUGCGGUUUCUGUCUCUUCAGCCUGAAAUGCUUGUUCCUAUAGAUAAUUGCAUGGUAGCUUACUGUCUCACCUCCCUCACUCCCUUUUUAUUUAUUAUUAUUAUUAUUUUUUUUUUUAGAAAAGGUCUCACUCUGUCACCCAGGCUGGA